rnacentral:rRNA from 1 species
UACGUAGGGUGCAGGCGUUAAUCGGAAUUAUUGGGCGUAAAGAGCUCGUAGGCGGUUUGUCGCGUCUGCCGUGAAAGUCCGGGGCUCAACUCCGGAUCUGCGGUGGGUACGGGCAGACUAGAGUGAUGUAGGGGAGACUGGAAUUCCUGGUGUAGCGGUGAAAUGCGCAGAUAUCAGGAGGAACACCGAUGGCGAAGGCAGGUCUCUGGGCAUUAACUGACGCUGAGUAGCGAAAGCAUGGGGAGCGAACAGG